GGACCCGCACAAGUAGUGGAGCAUGUGGUUUAAUUCGAAGAUACGCGCAGAACCUUACCAACACUUGACAUGUUCGUCGCGACUCUAAGAGAUUAGAGUUUUCGGUUCGGCCGGACGAAACACAGGUGCUGCAUGGCUGUCGUCAGCUCGUGUCGUGAGAUGUUGGGUUAAGUCCCGCAACGAGCGCAACCCUCACUUUUAGUUGCCAUCAUUAAGUUGGGCACUCUGAAAGAACUGCCAGUGAUAAGCUGGAGGAAGGUGGGGAUGACGUCAAGUCCUCAUGGCCCUUACGUGUUGGGCUACACACGUGCUACAAUGGGAAGUACAAAGGGCUGCGAACCAGCAAUGGUAAG
rnacentral:rRNA from 1 species